UGGGGAAUUUUGGACAAUGGGCGAAAGCCUGAUCCAGCCAUUCCGCGUGCAGGAUGAAGGCCCUCGGGUUGUAAACUGCUUUUGUACAGAACGAAAAAGCUCUGGCUAAUACCUGGAGUCCAUGACGGUACUGUAAGAAUAAGCACCGGCUAACUACGUGCCAGCAGCCGCGGUAAUACGUAGGGUGCAAGCGUUAAUCGGAAUUACUGGGCGUAAAGCGUGCGCAGGCGGUUUUGUAAGACAGAGGUGAAAUCCCCGGGCUCAACCUGGGAACUGCCUUUGUGACUGCAAGGCUGGAGUGCGGCAGAGGGGGAUGGAAUUCCGCGUGUAGCAGUGAAAUGCGUAGAUAUGCGGAGGAACACCGAUGGCGAAGGCAAUCCCCUGGGCCUGCACUGACGCUCAUGCACGAAAGCGUGGGGAGCAAACAGGAUUAGAUACCCUGGUAGUCCACGCCCUAAACGAUGUCAACUGGUUGUUGGGUCUUGACUGACUCAGUAACGAAGCUAACGCGUGAAGUUGACCGCCUGGGGAGUACGGCCGCAAGGUUGA
rnacentral:rRNA from 1 species